AUUGAACGCUGGCGGCAGGCUUAACACAUGCAAGCCGAGCGGGGGAAGGUAGCUUGCUACCGGACCUAGCGGCGGACGGGUGAGUAAUGCUUAGGAAUCUGCCUAUUAGUGGGGGACAACAUCUCGAAAGGGAUGCUAAUACCGCAUACGUCCUACGGGAGAAAGCAGGGGAUCUUCGGACCUUGCGCUAAUAGAUGAGCCUAAGUCGGGUUAGCUAGUUGGUGGGGUAAAGGCCUACCAAGGCGACGAUCUGUAGCGGGUCUGAGAGGAUGAUCCGCCACACGGCGGCUGAGACACGGCCCAGAAUCCUACGGGAGGCAGCAGUGGGGAAGAUUGGACAAGGGGCGGAAGCCUGUUCCAGCCAUGCCGCGUGUGUGAAGAAGGCCUUAUGGUUGUAAAGCACUUUAAGCGAGGAGGCGGCUACUUUAGUUAAUACCUAGGGAUAGUGGACGUUACUCGCAGAAUAAGCACCGGCUAACUCUGUGCCAGCCGCCGCCGUAA
rnacentral:rRNA from 1 species